GGUAAGACUGAUGAGCGAUAUUUUCCUUUGGCUAGUCUUGGGAAAACGUCGUCGUCGCCCAUGAGUGCAUAUUGUUUACUUAAAGUAAUUCAAUAUUGUUUUUCAGAAAUAAUUUGUGAUGACAUCCAGCAAAACGAGUCUAUGUAAUGAAUUAAUUAAUAACGUGUAUUCGCGAGCAUUAUCAGUAGUUUAUCACCUAUUAUAGUCGGCCAGACGAGACGUGCCGCUUGUUUUCCGAUUCCGAGGUUUAUUGCGGGCCGAGGUUGUCGUGCAAGUUUUCUAGGUGUUUCCCGUUCAUAGCGACUGAAAUUACUAAGAGUGCAUUCAUUCACAGUGAAGUAUGAAUCCGGUGCGGGGCGAAAAACUAUGUGUUUUGAUUAAAGAUGUCAAAAAUGUUAUCAUAGCCACAAUGGCUCAUUGCUCAACCACAGAAUCCGCAUAAAAACUGUGUAAAUUCAUACCUAACACCUAUAUGUUAUAGGUAUAACGUAUAAGUCCUGGAUGACUAUGCUAGUACUGUAUGUGGUUUUAACUUAAUUACUUAAAAUGAAUCAUAUAUUGUAUACAUAACUAUAUAUACACAUUUAAAUACUCAAUAUACUGUGCUCUCUGUGUCGGCGCGGGACGGUUAUCGUUCUCUCUUUAAUGACAACUCUGCGAAUCAUUUUGAUUUACUCGUUACUUCGAAAUUGUAUUUAAAAAAGUUAAUUAAUAUAUUCAUAUAGUUUUUAAAAGCAUUGUAUAAUAAUAAUUAAUAAUUGUUAUACAAUUUUUAUUUUUUAUUUGAUUAAGUUGAUCGUAAAAAUAA